UUUUAAUUUUCAUUUGGUCAUAUUUUAUUUAACAGAAUGUCAUUCUUCCUCAGUAACCAACAAUGAUUUAUAGUAGUAGUACUCUCCAAAGCAGCCCAUUGAUCACAGAGAAAUGAUGAUAUUUAAAUAUACAAUAUAAAGAGUGACAUAUUUCACAAAGUUGCUUAAUCUUCAGAUUUUAAGUUGGAACACAACAGACCAAAAGUAAGCAUCUGAUUAGGUCCAAGAAUAAAAUUCAAACUGACAACAAGUUGUGAAAAGCUAAUAGUUAUUGAAACUAUACAUAGAGAGAACAUGAUUGAUAGACUUGUCCAGGCUUUACAAAUCUCAGACCCCCUGAGUCCUAACAAUACUAAAUUGAGAAACAAACAAACAAAUUUUAUCCUGAGGAUACAAGCACUGUUUUCAAAUUACUCUCGUAAUUUAAUUUUUUGUUUUCUUUUUUUAUAUGGUGCUAUAGUUUUUUUCCAUAAGGCUCCAAAAUAGAUCGUUGUAUGCAAAAGAACCUGUAUUUAGUAGUUACUGCUAUGCAAGUACUACAGAUCACAAGAGCCUUAAGGCACAGGUAGCCAAUCUAGCAAUUUUAGAUGUUGCCACAACUAGCUGUUUAUCAUUAUUCUCAUAACAAGGUUGUUUCAAUAGAUUAUGUGAGUGCUUUUACAUAAACAUGACUACGGAAUCAACAGAGUUAGCAUGAGUUAUACACAACCUACAUUGGGACAGAAGUACUUCCAUAAUCUGCUGUUGCUCAAAUGCUGGGACAGUAGUCCCUACCUGAAGAGUGAUAAUUAAUAGUCAGGUGAAGGCAACAUCUUGAAUCACAAGAGCUGUCCCAGAUUUAUCUACACCUGUAUGGACUCCUAGCCAGAGUCUCUCUUGUAUUCCUCUAUGAUGAUGUCAGCUGUUGCUCUUAUUGUCCAUUUCACCCUGUUCAUUACCAGAAAAUUGGAUAAGGGAAAUAUUUAAAAUACUGGUUGUCAAGCUCUAGUCUGCAGGUUAUCAGGGUGCUGGGGGUUUUUUUUCAGUUUUCUCUAGUUAUUCAUAGAAUAAAGUACGAAGUAUGUACAGAAGACAGGAUGUUGUUGGAUGCGAAGCAGUAGAAGAAAAGAUGCAGAGCUGGGAAAGAUUUGUAGGACACUUUCCACACAACAGUCCAUAUGGUAAAAGAGCUAGAGAACCAAUUGGUUUUAAAGAGACAUUAUUGUCAAGUUGAACACUAAUUAACUGCAAAACAUUUAUUUAUUUUUAUAAUAGUGUCAGGUAUUCUGUUUGUGCCCUUCUGGACAUAUUCAUCAUUUUAGAAUCACAUUUAUCAUUAUUUAAUUCCUUCUGCCACUGAUGUAUGAAAAAUGCACAUGAACCUCAGGGAAAACCAUAUUUAAGGGAAAGCAAUUGUACAGUAAGUUCCAUCAAGGGUGCAAUGCAACCAAACCCUGAAACUCUUUCAGUUAUCAUAAUCUGAGGCAUUACUUGUAACAAUCAUCAAUUUAAUAUUUUUAGACAUUAAAUGUAAUGCCUAAAGUUGUCAGUUUCCUUUAAAUCAUCUCCACUCUGAGUGACUAAUGGCUACAAUUAACAUCACCAGCAGAACUGUUUAAAGACACAGGACACAGAUCACCAGUUACAGCUUGAAGGUGGCAUAAUUAGCAAAAGACACUGAGGUGUGCAGGGGAGAUUCUCACACUGCUUACACUCACUGCCUCCUACACAGAGUGGGCACCAAUACUGAUGUCAGGGCAAGACAGGCUUUAUUCCAAGCAAGCACUGAAUUCUGCCCCAAAUUAUUUCUGCAGCAAGAAGUUGCAGAAUGCACCCCUCCCUUCUCUUCCUUUGGACAGGUUGGUGAAUGUUAGCUUUCCAGCUCCUGCAUGCUACAUGAUACCCACAUCCCAGGGGCCACCAUGGAAACAGCAGCAGCAGAGGCAGUUCAGGCUUGGCAUGCACAACAGAUUUAAAUAUAUCGAAACCAAGUUUGUGUUGGAAAGAGAGAAAGAUUGUCUCUCUCCCUUCUGAUGGCAGAUGUAUGGUGGGGUUUCUAAGUCCUCUCUCAUAUCACAGAGCAAGUGAAAGCCUCCCUCAUCAUUACAUUAAAAUGAUUGAUCACUUCAACUCCCUGUCGCUUUCUCCACAGAACUCCCACCUUACGGGCAUGUGACUCCUUUCCAUCUCUCCCUGCAUGACUUCUUCAGUCAGGCAGGACAUGGCAUUUCACACAUUCCUUCUGGUACCAGGUCUGAGUCAGCCCAGAGGUGAGGAUCUGGUGGCAUGCACUGAUCAAUUAAACCAUGUUCACAAGCUCAGCUACUGCACCUACAAUUUCACAUGGCAACUCAAGCUUUUUCUAAAGAUUUAGGAAAUUCCACCAUGGCCAUACAAGGUAGACCAUGCGAAAAAUGGAAACUCUGCUCAUAAUGUAGGUGGAGAACACAGUACAGGCUACUGAUUCACUUCUUGGAAGCGUUCAUACAAGUUCACUCACAUCAUUUUUGCCAUUCAUAAGGCUUUCCACUGCAGGCUUCCUUCUGUUUUUUAUUUUCAUUAUUGUGUUUUGCCAUCUUCUAUUAUCUUUUCCCUUGCUUUUUUCUCCCCUUAAAUUUUUAUUAACCAAGGGACCUGAUCUGAGAUGCUUGCCUUUAGGCACUGCUGUGUGUUGCUGAUGUUGCGACAGCCUCUUUAAGGGAUCACAGCAGCAUUUCCAUAUCAAAUACAAAUCCUAAUUAACCCCCACCAUUUGACUGCUGCAAAUUGACAGAUAUGCCAAUUCUAUGGAAGUGAAUUCUCUGCUAACAGCAAAAGGAAGCUUUGUCACACCUUUAUUAGAGAGGACAUGUUGUAAGUGACUGAUUUGGAAACAACAGAGCUGGCUGACCACAGCCCUCAUAGAUCAAAUACUUCCGCCAUGUUUUAACAAAUCCAUUUGGAUUCCACAGUGAUAACAUCAACUCAUAUUUUGAACUCACUGCAGAAACUUCUCUUUUUUCUCUCUUUUUAAGCUCGUAUCAUGGGAGUCUGACAUAUCUGUUAUAAAUCAAAGCAGUUUACACACAAAACACACUGGAGAAUGUAUGACAAAGUACAGGGAGUUUGUGACUUACCUUUCAACUUCAGUACUGCCCAGCUUACCACAGGUGGUUAUUUUUAAACAACAAAACCACUGCAAAUUGUGCAAUCCAACAGGGGUCAAUGCCAUUUUGUGACAACAGACCCACAUGAAGGGAAAAAAUUAAGAUCCCAAAAGCUGAUAGGAAAAAAAUUCCCACACAACUGAAAGCUGAAAUGCAGACUGAAAGGUAUGUCCAAGUCAACGUGCUAAAUACAGACCCUUGAGACAGGAUCAUUUAAGGUUACAAGGCAAUACAGAAUGUGGGGUUCUAUCUACCCAGCUUACACUUUGAUUUGUGGUCACUUGAGCCUGCUUCUAAGCAAAAUGCCAAUGUUCUUUUUAUGGUUAAUACAUAAUAAAUAUCUUUCAAGGCCCUCAAAAGGCGAUCCUUCCUGACCAAGUUCAGAAUGCAGCCAAGAUUUCGUUUUGGGGGUCUUCAGAGUAACCUACCUUUUUUCCAUCAAUUAUACAGGGAAGAAAAGCAUUUCAUUUAAGGGAAAAAUUCCCUGUUUACUAUUUCCUUAGCAGAAGUGGUAAAAUGUACAUUCAGAUUUAACUCCACAGGAAAGCAGAUCACCCCUGGUUUGUAAAAUUCUCAUGGUAAAAUGUUUAGGUAAGUUUCUAAAGAAAGCAGGCAUCACUGAAGAACCAGACAUUCUUCUCACACAAAAUAGGGAGACAUUAUUUCAUCCUGCAGUUCAAACCAGACUGAGUGAUCAAAGUAUCAUUUUUUUUUGGCAUAAUUAUAAACACAAAGUGAAUGUCUUCCAUUGAGAUUUUAAUGUCUCUAACUGGCUGUGUUUCUGGUUUUGCUACCUGAGAAAUGGGAGACAAAAGUACUAUUCUCAGCACCACAAAUACAGGUUCAUAAGCUACUUGUAAAAUGCCUUUCUUCAGAAGGACAUGAUACAGCUAGCCAUGUGAUUAAGUGAUUUUUCAAUACAAUCCUUUGAGACAUUUGCUCUUGCCUUUCACAUUGACAUUUGUCUUCCAAAUUUGUCCUGGCACCCAAUGCCAUUGAUAGCUUAGAGGGACAUUCCCCAUAGGCAAGUAAAGAUUAUCAAAACCAAACUCAGCACAUCCCCCCAAUCCUAUUUUAAUAUUCUUAAAGAAAUCCUGAAGCCUGAUUUUGCAUUUUUCUCUGUUCCAUGCUCUUUCAAACAUGACUUUUUCAAAGAUCUUGAUGAAUACAUACACUGAUAACAACAGAAACAAUAUAAUAACACGGACAUGACCAAAGCUUAUUGCAAAGUUUUUCCAGGUAAUUCUAAAUGGUAGUUCUUAUGACACUUGGUAAACUUUUGAAUUUCCCAAACAAAACAGGUAAAUAAUAAAAGGCAUGAACAAAAUACUGUCAGGUUACAAUUUUGUCAGAUGUGCUUAUGCUUUCCUAAUUAAAUAAUACAAAGAUUAAAUAAUACAAAGAGCAUUCCAUGCAAGGUACUGAGCUAAAACAAUUCUUUAAGAGAGACAUUGAAGCAAAUCUGCUUCUCCACACAUGAAUGACCUCCUGAGGUCCCUUCUACUCCUAUUUUCUUUAAUUCCACGUUUAGUUUAUGUAUGUCUCUACAAAUAUCUUUUGUGUUUAGGCAUAGCAUGUUUAUAGAGUGCAAAACAUCUUUUUAAAUAUGCUAUACAAUAAAUUUACAUUUCUGUAAAGACAUCUUAAACUAUUUUACAACCAAUAACUAUUGGGACCCUGUGUACAUAUUGCAGCAUAGUGGGACUGAUUGCCUGCCUUUAUAGAGCCAAGAGACUAUUGACAUCUCUGAUCACAGGAGAAAGGCUUUGGACAUGAAAGUUUCCAUAAUUUUUCCAUGCAUUCUUAAACAUUUGCUUCAUGGAAGAGGCACCACAGAAGGGAUUAUUUUUAGAUCUUGCCAAAGGCCUGAAACUAUCGAUUUUACACUUUUUUUUUCUCUUCCCCUCACCCCCCGCCCAUUUUUAUUUUUUCAUUUAGUUGCUUGGACAGGUGUAUGCAGUUUUUCCACUAAGUUACUCACAUUGCAGGAUGUUCUUUUCUGUGCAUAUUGGCAUGCAUAAUUACAACAAGGUUUAUUCUACCCAAUACACAACAAAGGUAAGAAAUUAAGAAGAAUCCUUCCCAAGCAUUUGAAUUCUACUUUUAGCAUUUCAAUUCUGCUAUAAAAAUUAGACAUUGAUUCCUAUGAUAAUAAAGACUGGAAAAAAAAUUCAGUCCAGAUUUAAUCUAUUAAAAAUUGACCUAUCUGUAAAAAUUUUCUACAAGAAGCAAGGGAAAGGUGAAAAUCCUUUACAUACCCUGAUGUGUAAAAGAGAAAUGCCUUCAAAGAACACUGAGAGCAUAUAAAGGAUUAUUUUUCUUACCAAUUUUCAUAUUCUUAUCCAAUGUCACAACUGCAGUUACCACUGACAGAAUUUGCUUCAGUGAAAUAAAAGCUGCAGCCAAGAAGAUCUGUAGCCCAACUCUUUAACAGUGAGGAUCUUGUUGAAAGAGUAGGUUUUGUUCUUGGUGAAAGAUGAGGUCCCAGUUACACAAAAUUAUAAUAUAUCCUACUUUCACUUUCUGGAAAGAAUAUAUUAAUACUCCUUAACUUGAAGUUGAAAUCAGGCAUCAGAAAACAUUACAUAAAUUACAGCUAAGUGCAUAAAUAAAGGAUUCACAAACAAAACAAAUUUAUAAGCUUCAAAACAAAUGUUAAGCUUCAUACAGUCGAGCAGAUACACUUUCCUACAAAGAUGCUCUGUGGGGAUGUAAGAGGCAUUUCUAUUUUCUGACCAGACAGCUCAUGUACUCUGAAGUCAGCGUUGUACUGGUUUGCACCAAGGUUUGGCCCAUGUAUCUAAGAGCAUCCAUGAAGAUUUUGAUCACCACUGUGUCACGGUUUGCAUACAUAUGGGAUACUGACUAAAUCCUGAAGCCCUUACAAGGAGAAAAUUUCUACCAGUGUUAGAGUUUUAUCUGAUAAGGAUUUAAAAAUCAGAUUGAUGACAAUAUACUAUUCUACUAACCAUAAGUGUGGGCAUAUAUAACAUACAUUCAAAUACAGCACUUAUGCAAACCCUAGCGACAAAUCUCACAUAUCCAGCACGAUGUUACAAGGUAUGUGAAAAAUAGCACUGAAUAAAAUAGUAUAUAAGAGUUCAUCAAUCUUUCAAGUCCCUCAAACCAUAGAAGUUGUAUUAAAGCCAUUUCUACUACUGAAAACUUGUAGGACAGAGUGAAAAUAUGUUCAGGCUCCGUAUCUUUUCUCUUGCAUUUCAUAAAAUGUAUCAUGAAAUUAGAAUUAGGAGAACAGAAAGGCAAUGACUUGUUCAGUUCCUUAAUUAAAGUUCCUUUAAUACAACGGUAUGUUGGGGCAUACAGUAUUUAUCAGUGUUGCUAAUGAACUGCGAAGUAGGAAAGCUUUAUCAGUGUGCUGCCUGGGCUUAUAAAGGGUGAUGCUGUAAGAGACAGGGUUGUCUCAGCCCUGAGAAAUGCCAAAGCUGCCACCACAGAAGUUACAGCUAAGCUUUGAGACACAUGCUUCCACGAUUUCACUCUCCUCUCUCUCUUAAUUCAUCCCAACCUACAAAAUCUUACUGCAGUCAUCCUGGGCAAGGAGAGAUGACCUACAACCAGUGACUGAAAUGUCAGCAAUCACUGAUGUGAUAGAAGAAAUUCUUUAAACUCUGGUGCUUGGGAAGCAGGGUUGCUGUGAGCUGUCUCCUCCACUGUGGUCAGUGUGUUCUUAACUAAUCCCUGCAUUAUUGUAAGACACGGUCUUACAAUACCUGACUAUUCAGAUGUCUCAGUGGGCACCCUGUGUCUUCUCACUCUGAUUGCAGAAUUAAGUCCUAAUACAAAAUGGCAUUCUUGCCUCAGCAUACAACAGGCUGCACAAGUACCAGUCAGUACACAAAGAUGACAUAGCCCCUGUGUUUCAGGUUAUUUAUCCAAUCCCUAGCGAAAGCUGCUGCCCUUUUGAGGUAAAAUGUAUUUCUCUAGUAUGGCACAUGUUCAAUAUAUACAGUUACACUACAACCAAAAGUGUCCUAAACACAUAGGCUGAGAUGUUUGACUACAACUUAUUCAUAUUAAUCCUUGCUUGGAGUGGGAUGCUGUUGUUCUAUGGAAAGUUUUAC
ensembl:lncRNA